AGAGUUUGAUCCUGGCUCAGGAUGAACGCUAGCUACAGGCUUAACACAUGCAAGUCGAGGGGCAGCAUGGUCUUAGCUUGCUAAGGCCGAUGGCGACCGGCGCACGGGUGAGUAACACGUAUCCAACCUGCCGUCUACUCUUGGACAGCCUUCUGAAAGGAAGAUUAAUACAAGAUGGCAUCAUGAGUCCGCAUGUUCACAUGAUUAAAGGUAUUCCGGUAGACGAUGGGGAUGCGUUCCAUUAGAUAGUAGGCGGGGUAACGGCCCACCUAGUCUUCGAUGGAUAGGGGUUCUGAGAGGAAGGUCCCCCACAUUGGAACUGAGACACGGUCCAAACUCCUACGGGAGGCAGCAGUGAGGAAUAUUGGUCAAUGGGCGAGAGCCUGAACCAGCCAAGUAGCGUGAAGGAUGACUGCCCUAUGGGUUGUAAACUUCUUUUAUAAAGGAAUAAAGUCGGGUAUGCAUACCCGUUUGCAUGUACUUUAUGAAUAAGGAUCGGCUAACUCCGUGCCAGCAGCCGCGGUAAUACGGAGGAUCCGAGCGUUAUCCGGAUUUAUUGGGUUUAAAGGGAGCGUAGGCGGACGCUUAAGUCAGUUGUGAAAGUUUGCGGCUCAACCGUAAAAUUGCAGUUGAUACUGGGUGUCUUGAGUACAGUAGAGGCAGGCGGAAUUCGUGGUGUAGCGGUGAAAUGCUUAGAUAUCACGAAGAACUCCGAUUGCGAAGGCAGCCUGCUGGACUGUAACUGACGCUGAUGCUCGAAAGUGUGGGUAUCAAACAGGAUUAGAUACCCUGGUAGUCCACACAGUAAACGAUGAAUACUCGCUGUUUGCGAUAUACAGUAAGCGGCCAAGCGAAAGCGUUAAGUAUUCCACCUGGGGAGUACGCCGGCAACGGUGAAACUCAAAGGAAUUGACGGGGGCCCGCACAAGCGGAGGAACAUGUGGUUUAAUUCGAUGAUACGCGAGGAACCUUACCCGGGCUUGAAUUGCAACUGAAUGAUGUGGAGACAUGUCAGCCGCAAGGCAGUUGUGAAGGUGCUGCAUGGUUGUCGUCAGCUCGUGCCGUGAGGUGUCGGCUUAAGUGCCAUAACGAGCGCAACCCUUAUCUUUAGUUACUAACAGGUUAUGCUGAGGACUCUAGAGAGACUGCCGUCGUAAGAUGUGAGGAAGGUGGGGAUGACGUCAAAUCAGCACGGCCCUUACGUCCGGGGCUACACACGUGUUACAAUGGGGGGUACAGAAGGCAGCUACACGGUGACGUGAUGCUAAUCCCUAAAGCCUCUCUCAGUUCGGAUUGGAGUCUGCAACCCGACUCCAUGAAGCUGGAUUCGCUAGUAAUCGCGCAUCAGCCACGGCGCGGUGAAUACGUUCCCGGGCCUUGUACACACCGCCCGUCAAGCCAUGAAAGCCGGGGGUACCUGAAGUGCGUAACCGCGAGGAGCGCCCUAGGGUAAAACUGGUGAUUGGGGCUAAGUCGUAACAAGGUAGCCGUACCGGAAGGUGCGGCUG
rnacentral:rRNA from 1 species